rnacentral:miRNA from 10 species
AAUGACCAUACAUGUUUUGUUCCUUAACUUGUUGUGUAGUUUUAUUUAGGUCGAGGUUCAUUAGACCGUAACGUGUCGUUGUCUCCUCCUGUGUCACAUCCACCAGGCGGUGACACCCUGCAGCUGGACCAG